rnacentral:rRNA from 1 species
CCUAGCUUGCUAGGUGGAUUAGUGGCGCACGGGUGAGUAAUAUAUAGAUAACGUGCCUCUUAGUCUGGGAUAGCCAUUGGAAACGAUGAUUAAUACUAGAUACUCCUUCUAACUCUAAUGUUAGUUGGGAAAGUUUUUCGCUAAGAGAUCGGUCUAUAUCCCAUCAGCUAGUUGGUAGUGUAAGAGACUACCAAGGCAAUGACGGGUAGCGGGUUUGAGAGGAUGAUCCGCCACACUGGUACUGAGACACGGACCAGACUCCUACGGGAGGCAGCAGUGAGGAAUAUUGCACAAUGGAGGAAACUCUGAUGCAGCAACGCCGCGUGGAGGAUGACGCAUUUCGGUGUGUAAACUCCUUUUAUAUGUCAAGAAAAUGACGGUAGCAUAUGAAUGAGCACCGGCUAACUCCGUGCCAGCAGCCGCGGUAAUACGGAGGGUGCAAGCGUUAUUCGGAAUCACUGGGCGUAAAGGACGCGUAGGCGGGAUGC